rnacentral:lncRNA from 1 species
UAUGAUUUGAAAUCGAUCUGGUCCUAUGGACUUCAGAUCAGUCCAAGCCCAUUUUCAGUCCUGACCUCUAUGGUUUGUCUCUAUCAAGAUUUCGCAAUGAUUGGUGAGAAGGCAAGCAUUGUUCAUGUUUUCCAGAGGCAAAGUUAGACCCUGAAGAGGAAGUAAUUUGAUGAAGAUGGAUCUUUUUGAUCGGCCGGUGGACCCGCGGCUGAAGUGGUGCCAGCAAAACAGUUCAAGUUGGGCCAACAGGUUCCAGACAUU